UUGGCCUUGACACACUAAGAACUUUCCAGAGAUGGAUUGGUGCCUUCGGGAACUUAGAUACAGGUGCUGCAUGGCUGUCGUCAGCUCGUGUCGUGAGAUGUUGGGUUAAGUCCGCAACGAGCGCAACCCUUUUCCUUAUUUGCCAGCGGGUAAUGCCGGGAACUUUAAGGAUACUGCCAGUGACAAACUGGAGGAAGGCGGGGACGACGUCAAGUCAUCAUGGCCCUUACGGCCAGGGCUACACACGUGCUACAAUGGUCGGUACAAAGGGUUGCUACCUCGCGAGAGGAUGCUAAUCUCAAAAAGCCGAUCGUAGUCCGGAUCGCAGUCUGCAACUCGACUGCGUGAAGUCGGAAUCGCUAGUAAUCGCGGAUCAGAAUGCCGCGGUGAAUACGUUCCCGGGCCUUGUACACACCGCCCGUCACACCAUGGGAGUUUGUUGCACCAGAAGUAGGUAGUCUAACCGCAAGGAGGACGCUUACCACGGUGUGGCCGAUGACUGGGGUGAAGUCGUAACAAGGUAAGCGUAGAUGA
rnacentral:rRNA from 1 species